rnacentral:rRNA from 1 species
GAUGAACGCUGGCGGCGUGCCUAAUACAUGCAAGUCGAGCGAACGGACGAGAAGCUUGCUUCUCUGAUGUUAGCGGCGGACGGGUGAGUAACACGUGGAUAACCUGCCUAUAAGACUGGGAUAACUUCGGGAAACCGGAGCUAAUACCGGAUGAUAUUUUGAACCGCAUGGUUCAAAAGUGAAAGACGGUCUUGCUGUCACUUAUAGAUGGAUCCGCGCUGCAUUAGCUAGUUGGUAAGGUAACGGCUUACCAAGGCAACGAUGCAUAGCCGACCUGAGAGGGUGAUCGGCCACACUGGAACUGAGACACGGUCCAGACUCCUACGGGAGGCAGCAGUAGGGAAUCUUCCGCAAUGGGCGAAAGCCUGACGGAGCAACGCCGCGUGAGUGAUGAAGGUCUUCGGAUCGUAAAACUCUGUUAGUAGGGAAGAACAUAUGUGUAAGUAACUGUGCACAUCUUGACGGUACCUAAUCAGAAAGCCACGGCUAACUACGUG